AAUAGAUACCCGGGUAGUCCACGCCGUAAACGAUGAGUACUAGCUGUCGGAGGUUACCCCCUUCGGGUGGCGCAGCUAACCGCAUUAAGUACUCCGCCUGGGAAGUACGCUCGCAAGAGUGAAACUCAAAGGAAUUGACAGGGGACCCGCACAAGUAGCGGAGCAUGUGGUUUAAUUCGAAGCAACGCGAAGAACCUUACCUAAGCUUGACAUCCUUCUGACCUCUCCCUAAUCGGAGAUUUCCCUUCGGGGACAGAAGUGACAGGUGGUGCAUGGUUGUCGUCAGCUCGUGUCGUGAGAUGUUGGGUUAAGUCCCGCAACGAGCGCAACCCUUGCCUUUAGUUGCCAGCAUUAAGUUGGGCACUCUAGAGGGACUGCCAGGGAUAACCUGGAGGAAGGUGGGGAUGACGUCAAAUCAUCAUGCCCCCUUAUGCUUAGGGCUACACACGUGCUACAAUGGGUGGUACAGAGGGCAGCCAAGUCGUGAGGCGGAGCUAAUCCCGUUAAAGCCAUUCUCAGUUCGGAUUGUAGGCUGAACUCG
rnacentral:rRNA from 1 species